GCUGGUCGUGGGGGCCCCACUGGAAACCAAUGGCCACCAGCAGACGGGAGACGUGUACAAGUGUCCGGUGACCGACGGGAACUGCACCAAACUCAACCUGGGAAGGGUCACCCUGUCCAAUGUGUCCGAGCGGAAAGACAACAUGCGCCUCGGCCUCAGCCUGGCCACCAACCCCAAGGACAACAGCUUUCUGGCCUGCAGCCCCCUCUGGUCGCAUGAGUGUGGGAGCUCCUACUACACCACAGGGAUGUGUUCAAGAGUCAACUCCAACUUCAGGUUCUCCAAGACCGUGGCCCCAGCUCUCCAAA